UCUAAUAUGGCAGAUUAGUGCAAUAGAUUUAAGCUCUAUAUAUGAAAGUACUCCUUUCUAUUAGAA
rnacentral:tRNA from 1 species